UACAGGGGGGGCAAGCGUUGUUCGGAAUUACUGGGCGUAAAGGGUCUGUAGGUGGCCAACUAAGUCAGACGUGAAAUCCUCAGCUUAACUGGGGAACUGCGUCUGAUACUGGAUGGCUUGAGUGUGGGAGAGGAAUGCGGAAUUCCAGGUGUAGCGGUGAAAUGCGUAGAUAUCUGGAGGAACACCGGUGGCGAAGGCGGCAUUCUGGACCAUAACUGACACUGAGAGACGAAAGCCAGGGGAGCAAACGGG
rnacentral:rRNA from 1 species